CUGCCAGUCAGGAGCCUCAUGGUGGUGGCUUCCAGGGCAUUAGUCACAUCACUUUGUCGGCUGGUCUUUGUCCUUUGAGGACAUGACUAUGUUAAGCCCUCACAGUUUCUAUUAGACUGAGAAAUGGUCCAAAAGUGGUUUAUUUCCAAUUAAAUGAAACACAGUGGAAAGGUGCAAAGGUGAGUGUAGAGUCUUGUCAGUCUUCUAAUCCUAUAGUUGAGAAAAGAGGACCUGACAGUCAUCCAUUCCAAAGGGCCAGCUGGGCAUGGGUCCCUCCUUCAGACGCCGUGGCAACCCUGGUCCUGGAAGUUCUGGUGAUGCAGGGACAUCCCCCCUCCUCGCGGUGCACCCAACACACUGACCUGGCCCCCUCCCACCUGGCACAUGGUACACGAGGAAAUUCAGCGUAGCCCCGAAUCUCUCCUCGUUUCCCACAAAUGUGCACCUGGCCACUUGGUUCUUCUGGUAGGCAUCCUCUGGAUAGAUCAUUUUCAUUUUCCUGCUUAAAUAUAAGAAAUAAGGAAUCGAACUCCUUGGUGACCAUUUCAGGUGCCGGCUGAUCUUAAGGUCCAAGCUCAUCACUAAAUGUACUUCUGUUUUUUUUUUUUUUUGUUUUGUUUUUUUUCUGGUACUGGGAAUUGAACUUACAACCUUGAGCUUGCCAGGCAGGUGCUGUGCUGCUGUGCUAAAUCCCCAGCCCUUGUGCUUCUGUUAAUGAGUCCCGGAUGGCACCGGCUCUUCCCCUCCAAGCAGCAAUAAAAAAACACAUGCAGAUAAUCUCCAAAGCAUGUGGCGAGGCUUUUAAAGGAACAUGGCAGGAAGCCCUGAAACGUACAAGCAGAGGUGAGUGGGUGUGAAGGGCGGGGGUGGGUAUGAAGAGGAGGUGGAGGAGGCAGUGUGCGGAAGGCGUCCCGGCGACUCCCAGUUUCCCAGGAGAAGAGUCAACACGGUUCCACGGGGUGCAGAUGCAUCUGGAGCGGUGCUCUCAGCUCCUGUGGGAUUCAGCGGGCAUCUUGAGUCUUGAACUAUGCCAGGCUCGGGGCCCUGGACGCGAAUGCCCACCACCACAGGUGACCAUUCCUGAAGAAGGGACACAUUCACUCUGUCCAGAUAAAAGAAAGGAAAAGUAGAGGACACACCGUCCAGGGCCUCUCCUGAACGUCUGAGUGGGCAGAACAGCCACUGUGGGGCCACCCAGCCACACCCUUGGACUCAUUGCGGCAGACUCAGGCUCACAGGGGUGGGUCUGCACCACCACUGCUGUUGCUUGUGGCCACAGCUACAGCCCCUGACCCCAGAGUGAGAGGCAGGACACAGCCUCUCAGGCGCUGGCUUCCUGUCUUGGGAUUGCCUGCCCCCCUGAUCCCCUGUGGCUCUGCAAGCUGGUCAAU
rnacentral:lncRNA from 1 species